AAGAGAGGAUGAUGUA
rnacentral:sRNA from 1 species